AGGGAAUCUUCCACAAUGGACGAAAGUCUGAUGGAGCAACGCCGCGUGAGUGAUGAAGGUUUUCGGAUCGUAAAACUCUGUUGUAAGGGAAGAACAAGUACGUCAGGAAAUGAAGGUACCUUGCGGUUACCUUAUUAGAACGCCGCGGCAACCUACGGCCCAGCAGCCGCGGUAAUACGUAGGUGGCAAGCGUUGUCCGGAAUUAUUGGGCGUAAAGCGCGCGCAGGUGGUUUCUUAAGUCUGAUGUGAAAGCCCACGGCUUAACCGUGGAGGGUCAUUGGAAACUGGGAGACUUGAGUGCAGAAGAGGAAAGUGGAAUUCCAAGUGUAGCGGUGAAAUGCGUAGAGAUUUGGAGGAACACCAGUGGCGAAGGCGACUUUCUGGUCUGCAACUGACGCUGAGGCGCGAAAGCAUGGGGAGCAAACA
rnacentral:rRNA from 1 species